rnacentral:tRNA from 1 species
GGGGAUGUAGCUCAGUAGAAGAGCACAUGCUUUGUAUGUAUGAGGUCCUGGGUUCAAACCCCAGCAUCUCCA